rfam:Pseudomonas chlororaphis subsp. aureofaciens 30-84 chromosome, whole genome shotgun sequence.
GGCGGAGUGUUGCUCAGCCCGUUUCUGAUUUAUGUGGUGCUGGCGCUGGUGCUGACCGGGGUGUUGCGCAUGCUGUUGCGCGCAACGCCACUGGGGCGCUGGAUCUGGCACGAAGCACUGUUCGAUGUGGCCUUG